rnacentral:rRNA from 1 species
CUCCAACAAGGCAGCCCUCCAGCUCGUCGAUUCCUCCUGGAGGCAGCAGCGGGGAAUAAUGGGCAACAGGGGAAACCCUCAUCCACCAACCACGCGUGGAGGAUGAAGACCCCCGGGUGGUAAAAUCCUGUCUUAGGGGAAGAAAAAAAUGACGGUACCCGCGGAGGAAGCCCCGGCUAACCCCGUGCCAGCAGCCGCGGUAAGACGGGGGGGGCGAGCGUUGUUCGGAAUUACUGGGCGUAAAGGGCGCGCAGGCGGCCUGGGAAGUCUUGGGUGAAAGCCCCCAGCUCAACUGGGGAAUGGCCUGAGAAACCACUAGGCUGGAGUGCUGGAGAGGGAAGCGGAAUUCCCGGUGGAGCGGUGAAAUGCGUAGAUAUCGGGAGGAACACCAGAGGCGAAGGCGGCUUCCUGGACAGACACUGACGCUGAGGCGCGAAAGCUAGGGGAGCAAACGGGAUUAGAUACCCCGGUAGUCCUAGCUGUAAACGAUGGGUACUAGAUGUGGGGGGUAAUUGAAAGUCCUUCCGUGUCGGCGAUAACUCAAUAAGUACCCCGCCUGGGGAGUACGGUCGCAAGGUUGAAACUCAAAGGAAUUGACGGG